rnacentral:tRNA from 1 species
UCCUUGGUGGCUCAGUGGUAAAGAAUCUGCCUGCCAAGCAGGAGGCGUGGGUUCGACUCCUGGGUCAGGAA